rnacentral:lncRNA from 1 species
UCUACAAAGCCUCUAGACAAGAAACGUUAUCUUAUAAGGGUCGGGACAGGCCCCGCCUCAUGAUAAGAUACUAUACAAUGCAAAAAGAUAUGAUAAGACUCAAAGCCCCGAAGCAACCUGGAGCUCAGUGACUGCGGUUGAUAUCCUGUACUCUUACUAGGGAGGUUUAUUAGCUUCUGUACCUGCAGCAUGGAAUGCAGGUCCCCCAAGAGGGACGUCAGUACGAAAUAAUGUACUGAAUAUGUAAGGCAACAUGUACUAUAUAUGAGAUAAAAACUCAAAUGAAACCAUGUACUGCUGUAGGGUAAAAGACCACCUUUAUGAAUAUUGUGGAGUCAUGUAUCUUAUAACAAUUAUGUUACUUUACUCUUAUUACUUGAAUAAUCUGUGCACAGCAUGUAAUACAAAUGACCAGCUGAUCAGUGGUAAUUCUAUAUCAGGAUCGACCCAUGCUAGGCUUUCCUUUCACCCCUGGGAUACCCCCUGUAAUACUGGGAUUGACCCAUGCUAGGUGAUUCUUUCACCCCUGGGAUACCACCCAACAGAAGCAACUGUAUACAUAUAUCUUCUUAUUACUUUUGAGAUGAAUCUUUGGUGGUCGUAACAUUUGAGCUAUAAGACUAUAAGCAUGACAAAUGACAAGUAUGUGUCCAUGUAACAUCAUAUCAUAAUGAAAAGAGUGGGUUGUACAAUUAGUGAAACAUGUAGGACAUAAACAACGUAUGAACUUUAUUUAGCUAAAAAGAAGACUCAUAUGUCAUGGUACCCAAUGUAUGUAUGCAGCAGUGACAAUGCUCGAAUCUGGACACACAAGUACAUGUUAAAGAGUGGAGUGGUUAUGUCAAAGUUUGUAAAGAUCUCUAUGUGCCAAUGAAGACUUUGGAUUCCAUGCCAAAUAAUAAGAGAUCGAAUAGCCUUACAUACCUCGACAUAUCAACUUGUUUUUACGUCGAAAUGACUUCUUUUCUUCCAACUAUUUAUCUACAAUAUCAUGUUUUAAAGCUAGUAUUAGCAGCUAAUCAAUGCAUCUGGACAGCCCAAUCUCACAAGACACAACACUUUGGCAACAAACGUAUAACCAUCAACUCAAUGGUGUUAUUCCGACUUUCUCAAUUCUAACUGUAUUCAACCAGCAUAGAUUAUCAUAUACAUGAUGUAUACAGCCUAUAUUAGUUCUAUAACAUGCUGGCAACAGUCCAUAACUACAACACAUAACCAUUUUACAAAACGCUCAACUAAGAAGCACAACAUCUCGUCGUCUCCCUACAUUUCGUCGUUAACAAUUCAUACUUGUCCCAACUUUGAACCAGAUGCUCCCAACAUAUAUAUACAUCAAAUAAACCUUAACAUAGUCACAAAAUAUCUCAAAACGUAGGGGGAAACGUGAAACAACAUCCCCCUCAACAAAACAGUCCAAUACCAUUUUGGAAGCACAUAAGAUCAUAUAAGGAUACUUGUUUCCAAAGAACUAGCAAAACAGUCCAGCAACCUUGGCAACCAUAUACACACUAUAACAUGUUAAUAACCUCAACUUUAUAUCAUAUUAAAGUCAAAAAUCAGGGUAAGAAUCGUUCCAAAGCCAAGAAAACCAAACAACAACUUUCAGGACACAAGCUGUCCAGAAAUUCCUGCACAGUGAACCAGCCAACUUAUCUUGUUUUCCAUGGAAAAUUCAUAUCAAAUAUAUGGUUAUUUUUACAUACCUUAACUCCCAAGGUGUAGGUCUAAUUCAAGAACUCAAAAAGUAGCCUUUGGUUGCCUUCCAAGGUGAAGAAAUGCCAAGAGAAACUUAGAGAGAACAGCUGAAAUUUUUUUGGUCUUUUAUUGAUUAACCUAGGGAGCUCGGUUUUGGUCCCUUUUUAAGGAGACUUUAGACCGACUUUCUCCUUAUAUUUGCAGCUGAUUAACUCAAAUUGGUCAAUGACUAAUUUUCCCCUUUCACUUGGGCCUUUUGGAUCUCUAAAUCAAUGGGCUUUAGUGGCCCAUUUCCUUAAUCUUUCUUGCACUUUGUUUGGGCCCAAUUUUGUUAGUAGUGAAUGAAUGUAGUUGGGCCUAUUAUAUAAAAAUUUUGGGCUGAACAUCUUGGCCCAAUAUAAUGUUAAACCAUUGGCUUAAAUAGCCUCCCUAACUUGGGCUUCGUUUGUCACAAGACUUGGAAAGUUUCGGCGUUAAGCCUUGUCUUCGUUCCCCUUUCUUUUUAUUUUACUAACGUCUAGACUUCAAGUGAGUUCACUUAUGAAUGAAUUCUUCUCCCUCAUGAUAUAUAAUUUUUAAGCUAAGCACACAGGUGACUCACCUGCUAGCUUCCUAAGUUCCAUAAGCAUGUCAAUGAUUUUCUCCGUUUAAGGCCACAGUCUCUAAAUAGAUUUCCAUAUAGUGCCCC